rnacentral:rRNA from 1 species
GACGAACGCUGGCGGCGUGCUUAACACAUGCAAGUCGAGCGGUAAGGCCCUUUCGGGGUACACGAGCGGCGAACGGUGAGUAACACGUGGGUGACCUGCCCUCAGCUCUGGGAUAAGCCCUGGGAAACCGGGUCUAAUACCGGAUAUGACUCCAUGACGCAUGGUUGUGGGGUGGAAAGCCUUGUGCGGCUGAGGAUGGGCCCGCGGCCUAUCAGCUUGUUGGUGGGUGAUGGCCUACCAAGGCGACGACGGGUAGCCGGCCUGAGAGGCGACCGGCCACACUGGGACUGAGACACGGCCCAGACUCCUACGGGAGGCAGCAGUGGGGAAUCUUNCGCAAUGGGCGAAAGCCUGACGCAGCGACGCCGCGUGAGGGAUGACGGCCUGG